rnacentral:rRNA from 1 species
CCAGACUCCUACGGGAGGCAGCAGUGGGGAAUAUUGGGCAAUGGGCGCAAGCCUGACCCAGCAACGCCGCGUGAAGGAAGAAGGCUUUCGGGUUGUAAACUUCUUUUAUUCGGGACGAAGAAAGUGACGGUACCGAAUGAAUAAGCCACGGCUAACUACGUGCCAGCAGCCGCGGUAAUGCGUAGGUGGCAAGCGUUAUCCGGAUUUAUUGGGUGUAAAGGGCGUGUAGGCGGGAGCGCAAGUCAGAUGUGAAAACUCAGGGCUCAACCCUGAGCCUGCAUUUGAAACUGUGUUUCUUGAGUGCUGGAGAGGCAAUCGGAAUUCCGUGUGUAGCGGUGAAAUGCGUAGAUAUACGGAGGAACACCGGUGGCGAAGGCGGUUUACUGGACCACAACUGACGCUGAGACACGAAAGCGUGGGGAGCAAACAGGAUUAGAUACCCUAGUAAG